ensembl:lncRNA
AUGAGUUUGAUAGCAUGGCAGGCUCAGAAAGGGCGGACACCCUCCACGCCCACAAAACGCGUGCCUCCUCUUCAUUCGAGAGCAGGCUUUCCGAGUAAAUGGGCGCUCAAUACAAGUGCACGACUGAGCUUUAACAACACGCUUCCAUCCAGAGGUUUCAGCACAACCUGUAUAAUGGUUUCGUAUUUGACAGCAGUUUCAGGUCUUGGAGUCUCUACCAAUGAGCUGAUGACCUGAAUCGGGUGUGUUUGGUUAAGGAGACAUGCAAAAUGUGCAGUGUUGGGGUGCCUCCGGGACCAGGGUUGGGAACCACUGCCUUUACCAUCUACAAAUGUUAAAUCUUAAAAUAAUAUUUUAAGGUUACCACCGCAUCUUUCUGGGGGGAAAAAAAUGCAGCGAUUGAUAUAGCUGAUUAAUAAUUAUUUUCAAAGCUUUCAAUGUACUGUCAUUAUAAAAUAACGUAUUAUUUAAUUCUAACAAAUUAAAAAUUAUUAUAUUUUAAAUUUCCGCACAGGAGAGACUUGGUAUUGUUUCCAAACAAAAAUAAAUAUAUCAGAUUCUGCAUCGGCUAUCAGCCAAAAAUGAGUUGAAAAAUAUCGGCAUAUCAGAUAAAUGCAAAAAAAAAAAAAAAGAUAAAAAAGUUGUGCAUCCCUAAUCUAAACUUAAAUAAGUUAUGACAAGUAAUUUUUUGCAAUGCAAAUACAUUAUUUUUGUAAUAUCAAAAUACAUUUAUUAAUAUUGUAUUUACUUUAAUUUAAAUUAAUAAUUUAUAACAAUACCUACCUAUAACAAUGUGAACAAUUAAAUAAAGCAUAAACAUAAAGUAUACACCGAAUUUGGGAUAGGCCAAAGUCAAUUUCAGCAUAUAAAUAGUGCGCCAAAUAGAAACAUAACAUCGUGUUAUUGAUACGCACUUUCAUGAGAUCGGGUUGGAUUGUUUGAUUGCAGACACUAGUAAAUGAAAUACAUGGUUAACCAGUGGUUAAACCUUUUUAGCAAUUAUCUGUCAUUUACGAGAAUCAGUCACAGGAAUUCAGUCAGCGUUCCCUGACCACGGAACUUCCACUGACCAUUUAGGUAAGUAAAAGUGUCUGUGCUGGGUUUAGAUGUAGGGUUAGGGGAUAAAAUAGAUAGAAUAUAGGCCUAUAGUUUAUACUAGAUAAAAAUCAUUAGGCCUGUGUCAAUGAAAAGUCCCCAUAAAACAUGGAGACCCAACGUGAACGUGUGUGUGUGUACUUGUUUAACCUACAUUGUGAGGAUCAAAUGUCCCCACAAAGGUCAACCCGAUCUCAUGAAAGUGCGUAUCAAUAGCACGAGUUUAUGUUUCGAUUGGGCGUACUGUUCAUAAGCAGAAAUUAGGGUUGUGGGGUAGAUGCGUAUCUUAUGUACGCCAAUUUUUGCGUAUCAAUACCACGAUUUUUUAUUUGGCGUACUAUUUACACGCAUUUUCAUGAAACCGGGCUCCAAAGUUAGUGAAUCAUGAGCAUUUUGAUAUUGUGCUACCAUUUUGUUGGAUUCCAUAAGGAAAACAACUUAUACGUCAUAUGCAAGGGACAUGUAAAGGCUUUCUGUGAAGGGUGGGGAUAGGGGAUAGAAAAUAUGAUUAGCUUAGUAUAAAAAACAUAACGCCUAUGGAAAAUCAUCCUAAUGAUAUAAAAGCAUGUGUGUGUGUGUGUGUGUGUGUGUGUGUGUGUGUGUGUGUGUGUGUGUGUGUGUGUGUGUGUGUGUGUGUGGCAUGCGUGAACAGAGAAUGCGAAAUAAAGAUACUUUACCACCUGGUGUCUGAAUCUUGAUUAAGACAAUAAGCACACAUGCACACAAAAUAAAGCGAUUUUGCAUUCUUCUGUGUUGUCUUAUUUCAUUUAGGUCUGAAUAUCUGCUUCCUUGUGUCCUUGAGAUAUUAUAUUUUGCUGUAACAUUCAUCUUAAUCUUUGCAUCAACGAAGUUGUGGUCUGUUGUUAUUCUCAAUGCUUUGUCAAAUGUCAGCCAAAUAACAUCAUGUGGUGAAUGCAGAGUUAAAUGAAUAUUACUUAAGGAAAAUACACCAAUUAUUUAUGAAAGCCAGGCUAUAGGUUGCUCCUUGAGGUAACUAUCAUAUAGCAUACAAUAACUUGUAUUAUAACUAUAUACUUAUAAACCUGUUCGAAGGGUUAAUAAAGUAAGGUCACGUGUAUAAAUAUAAACGCAGACACAAAGUCUUCUAGAUUAAUUCAAGUAUCUUGC